GACGAACGCUGGCGGCGUGCUUAACACAUGCAAGUCGAACGAAGAGCGAUGGAAGCUUGCUUCUAUCAAUCUUAGUGGCGCACGGGUGAGUAACGCGUAAUCAACCUGCCCUUCAGAGGGGGACAACAGUUGGAAACGACUGCUAAUACCGCAUACGAUCCAAUCUCGGCAUCGGGACUGGAUGAAAGGUGGCCUCUAUUUAUAAGCUAUCACUGAAGGAGGGGAUUGCGUCUGAUUAGCUAGUUGGAGGGGUAACGGCCCACCAAGGCGAUGAUCAGUAGCCGGUCUGAGAGGAUGAACGGCCACAUUGGGACUGAGACACGGCCCAGACUCCUACGGGAGGCAGCAGUGGGGAAUCUUCCGCAAUGGACGAAAGUCUGACGGAGCAACGCCGCGUGAGUGAUGACGGGCUUCGGGUUGGAAAGCUCGGUUAAUCGGGACGAAAGGUUCUUGGGCGAAUAGGGCGAGGAUUUGACGGUACCGGAAUAGAAAGCAACGGCUAACUACGUG
rnacentral:rRNA from 1 species